rnacentral:rRNA from 1 species
GAUGAACGCUGGCGGCGUGCCUAAUACAUGCAAGUCGAGCGAACGGACGAGAAGCUUGCUUCUCUGAUGUUAGCGGCGGACGGGUGAGUAACACGUGGAUAACCUACCUACAAGACUGGGAUAACUUCGGGAAACCGGAGCUAAUACCGGAUAAUAUUUUGAACCGCAUGGUUCAAAAGUAAAAGACGGUCUUGCUGUCACUUAUAGAUGGAUCCGCGCUGCAUUAGCUAGUUGGUAAGGUAACGGCUUACCAAGGCAACGAUGCAUAGCCGACCUGAGAGGGUGAUCGGCCACACUGGAACUGAGACACGGUCCAGACUCCUACGGGAGGCAGCAGUAGGGAAUCUUCCGCAAUGGGCGAAAGCCUGACGGAGCAACGCCGCGUGAGUGAUGAAGGUCUUCGGAUCGUAAAACUCUGUUAUUAGGGAAGAACAUAUGUGUAAGUAACUGUGCACAUCUUGACGGUACCUAAUCAGAAAGCCACGGCUAACUACGUG